GGCGGUGUCCAUACGCUGCGGGAAACACCUGUUGGGCUCCCACGGGUGAUUCGUUGCCCGCGGGAGUCCUUCCAUCCCGAACACAGAAGUGAAGACGCAGCGGCCGAUGAUACUCGCAAGGGGAAAGUAGGUGAACGCCGCCU
rnacentral:rRNA from 1 species